GAGUUUGAUCCUGGCUCGAGGAUGAACGCUAGCUACAGGCUUAACACAUGACAAGUCGGAGGGGAAACGACAUACGAAAGCUUGUCUUUUGAGUGGGCGUCGACCGGCGUACGGGUGAGUAACGCGUAUCCAACCUGCCCACCACUUGGGGAUAACCUUGCGAAAGUAAGACUAAUACCCAAUGAUAUCUCUAGAAGACAUCUGAAAGAGAUUAAAGAUUUAUCGGUGAUGGAUGGGGAUGCGUCUGAUUAGCUUGUUGGCGGGGUAACGGCCCACCAAGGCAACGAUCAGUAGGGGUUCUGAGAGGAAGGUCCCCCACAUUGGAACUGAGACACGGUCCAAACUCCUACGGGAGGCAGCA
rnacentral:rRNA from 1 species